UACAGAGGUCCCGAGCGUUGUUCGGAUUCAUUGGGCGUAAAGGGUGUGUAGGAGGCUAGGUAAGUCGGAUGUGAAAGCUCAUCGCUUAACGAUGAAAUGGCAUUCGAUACUGCUUGGCUAGAGGAUCGGAGGGGGAAACGGAAUUCUUGGUGUAGCAGUGAAAUGCGUAGAUAUCAAGAGGAACACCGGUGGCGAAAGCGGUUUCCUGGUAGAUUCCUGACUCUGAAACACGAAAGCUAGGGGAGCAAACGGG
rnacentral:rRNA from 1 species